AACGAACGCUGGCGGCAGGCUUAACACAUGCAAGUCGAACGCGUGUAGCAAUACACGAGUGGCGCACGGGUGAGUAACGCGUGGAUAUCUGCCUUUUGGUUCGGAAUAACUCCGGGAAACUGGAGCUAAUACCGGAUGGUUCCUACGGGAUAAAGAUUUAUCGCCAAAAGAUGAGUCCGCGUACGAUUAGCUAGUUGGUGGGGUAAUGGCCCACCAAGGCGACGACCGUUAGCUGGUCUGAGAGGACGAUCAGCCACACUGGGACUGAGACACGGCCCAGACUCCUACGGGAGGCAGCAGUGGGGAAUAUUGGACAAUGGGGGCAACCCUGAUCCAGCCAUGCCGCGUGAGUGAUGAAGGCCUUCGGGUUGUAAAGCUCUUUUGGCGGGGACGAUGAUGACGGUACCCGCAGAAUAAGCCCCGGCUAACUUCGUGCCAGCAGCCGCCGUAAGAC
rnacentral:rRNA from 1 species